GUUAUCGUAUCGAGAAGGGAAAUGCAGUAGGCUUCGGUGGUGACGGUCAGCAAGCAAACCCUCUCCGGCGACAGCGGAAGAAAAACAAGAAGAAGAAGAAGAAAGUGAAGCCCCCGACCGUCCACUGGCUGAGUGACGGACGGCGUGACGAGGACGUGCAGGACGGCCCCUCACUCCUCUCUACAGCAGGAACCGACGGCGGCUGCAGCGGCGACUGAGACUCUCAGCACAGCUGAAUGUACAUGGAGACCCCCAGCUGGGCAGACACAAAACCAGGAAACGGGCUGUGCAAAUCUGGGACCAUUGCUCUUUUCGGAAACGUCGUGUACAGCGGGUUGCUGAACGACCAUUUUUGGCAUCUCGGGGUGCCCCUCGUCACAAGACUGGGUAACCAGGAGGCCCCAGCUCCCCCAGAAGCCAUGGCACAGCCCUACGCCCCGGCGCAGUACCCGCCUCCGCCCCCGCAGAACGGCAUCCCCGGCGAGUACGCCCACCCGGCACAGGACUACAGCGGGCCCAGCACGGUGCCCGAGCACGCCGCCCUCACCAUCUACACGGCCACACAGACGCACAGCGAGCCCCCGGGCCCCGACAGCAGCGGGCCCUCGCUCACGGGCACCAGCACCGUACCGGCAGACGAGGUGGUGCAGACGGAGGGCAGCCAGCAGCUACAGCUACAGCCCUCAGACUCUUCAGAGAAGCAGCAGCCCAAGCGGUUACACGUCUCCAACAUUCCCUUCCGCUUCCGGGACCCCGACCUGCGGCAAAUGUUUGGGCAAUUUGGCAAAAUUUUAGAUGUGGAAAUUAUUUUUAACGAGCGGGGCUCAAAGGGCUUCGGUUUCGUAACCUUUGAAACAAGCGCGGACGCGGACCGCGCACGGGAGAAACUGAACGGCACCAUCGUAGAGGGACGAAAAAUCGAGGUGAACAAUGCAACGGCGCGAGUAAUGACGAACAAAAAAGUGGCCAACCCUUACACAAACGGCUGGAAGCUGAAUCCGGUGGUGGGAGCCGUCUACGGUCCGGAAUUCUAUGCAGUGACAGGAUUCCCCUACCCGACCACAGGGGCUGCCGUGGCGUACAGGGGAGCUCACUUGAGAGGGCGGGGCCGGGCCGUGUACAACACGUUCCGUGCGGCUCCGCCUCCCCCUCCCAUCCCGGCCUAUGGAGCUGUGGUGUACCAGGACGGCUUCUACGGCGCAGAAAUUUACGGAGGCUAUGCAGCAUACAGAUAUGCCCAGCCGGCUGCGGCGGCCGCAGCAGCCUACAGUGACAGUUACGGCCGAGUCUAUGCAACAGCAGACCCCUACCACCACACGAUCGGGCCGGCUGCCACCUACAGCGUGGGCACCAUGGCUAGCCUAUGCAGAGGAGGGUACAGUCGCUUCACUCCGUACUAAGAGAGAGAACCGAUACACAUUAGAAAACACACAACCUUCUGCUUCCCUGGGAAACAAAAUAGAACAAAAAGAAAAAACUAGAACAAAAUGCUUCCGGGUCACAAAAGUUGAUGUGACUUUUUUUUUUUUUUUCUGUCGUUCUCUCCUCAUUCGUGCUGUUGUUUCUUUUGGACUCUUGACCUUCCCUUUGAAGAAUGUCUGAGGUUUUUGAACUCUGCCACAGCGAGAGAGAUGAGCGUGAAGAAUGGGAACGGCGGAGCGGGCGCCUGGUGAAGAGUAUUCUGGUUUCAUCCCCUCCCAGAUUUACGGCCGCGGAACCCGGACGAUUUAUGUCGGGAGUGGAGGGGCAGGGAGCCACGAGCUCUUAAUUACACAGUUAUAAUAGUCAGACGAUUCAUAAUUCCGCCCUCUGAAUCCAGCAGAGAUGUUUAAUUGGGACAAUAUGAAAGAGAUUGAACAUUGUGGCAUAGUAAAUUACUCAGAGGAGUGUGAUGAGGUGAGAAUACUCGUCAGCAUCCUAAACAGGCUCCGCCCCUCUGUCGUUCAGCCCACUCGAGCGCCACUUGUUUCAUGUUAAAGUGUUCCAUUCCCACAGACUCCUGCCUCAGCCCAUUCUGUUGUGACCUUUAUUUGGUUUUUUUUCUAAUUUACUUUGUAUUUUAUGUAUUCGACUGAAUGGAUGUAAUUUUUUUUCUGUUCUCGCUUGCUGCAGAAAAGUGCGCCGAUUUGCGCAUGAUGGUCUAGUGCCCCCUCUAGCUGAAACCUGUCCGAGCAGACGUGCAAAUUUAUCAAGCCAGUUCACACUCAACACACACACACACACAGAUUGCAAGUAUAGAAACCAGAGGCCACAUGAAUAUGGCGCCAUGUUUGGUAAUUGAUCCGCUCUCCGAGUUGCAUGUAAUUGGCUGGCGCUCGUCUCAGACUCAUCCGUCUCCGCAGCAUUAUUACCUGCCGGGGAAACGUAGCGGCUGAGUGUUAACGGGAGUUAGAGGGAUGUAAAAAGUCCCAUCGUGCAGCAACUGGAUAAACAACUCCGGGUUUGGGGAGGGAUCGAUCGACCCUUAUCAGCCGACACUCACUCCGUCUCGCGGCGAGGCCAUAAACAGCAUUUAGCGGAGUCACACCUCACCAGCCUCGUCCGAGGCGAGAUAGGGGCGUUGAGAACGGGAGCGUGCAUGAGUCGGCCAACAGAAAGGGCCCCUCUCGAUUCAGAGCCACCCGGGCCGUCGCUCUCGUGCAGCCCCCACGGCCCAGUAAAUAGGCACCACACCACCCGCCGCAAAUGGAAUUGUAAAAGGGGGAGUUAUAGGAAAGCUGCGGAGGAGCCGCAUCCAAGGCAAUUUACUCGGCAGAUUAAAGAUAACGCCACUCAGUCAAUAGCUACUGAUCUCAUUUGAAGAUAAAGUGGAGGAACUCCGCCGCCACUGUUGCUCACAUAGGAAAGCCGUUGAUACAACGUCCGCUUUUUACACGUAAAAACCUCCACGCUGAAUUAAAGCGCUAUCGUGUCUGCUAUUAACGGUUUAUUAUUGAUCCGCAUUCAUUGUAUUAUUGCGUUAAAUUAAAAAAAUCAUGUAAAUAUUUUAUUUGACCUUUUUUGUGCAGCUAGCUACACCGUAUUUUUCUGUGGGAAUGGAAUAACUGUGGAAGAACUUUUGUAAAUAGACUUUUACGUUUAUUUUACAGUUGUAACACGUCAGCUUGAAAUAUUGCAGGAAAACCAACGCCAUCCCGUACGUCAGCCAUUACAAUAGCGAUGUGUUUAGACUAUUUAAUGAAGUGUUAGCAUAUCGUAACUAUGACAUAGCGUAUAGAAAUGUGAAAACAACACAAACUGUUAUUCCUUUUAUAAACUGUCAUUUAAAAAUUGUAUGUAUUUACUUCAUGGUGACAUUUUUAUAUGAUUAAGAGACAAGCUUUAAAUCAUCUUUGGUAAAAAGAACAGGACGUCUGUUUUCUGAGCAGGAGCGCUAGCUGCUUACGUGUUUAUGACUCUAUAAAUAACUCUAUAAAGUGUGAUGUUAAGCUAUGUUUGUGUCCGUAGACGAUAUUUUGUUGUUCUUUUGUAGUUCUACGCACAAUUUUAAAUGACUUCUGUGUCCGUUCUGGUGAUGCAACUUGGGCACGGGAUUUAGGUUUACAAGGAGGAUGAAAAAUGGUGCAGUGAUUCAAUAUCUAUGCAGGAUUGUGUAAUAUUCACUGCUGCUUCCAGUUCCGCGUUACCGUGUCGUUUCAAUGUUUACCUGUCCGUUCAGCGUACACCCAUCUUUCAGGGAGACAGAGUCACGGUGAGGGAGAGAUCUUUCCGGAUGUCUCAGCGAAUCUUCCAGCCCCCAGAUUGACAAGACAAAAAAAAUCCCCGUCUUGCAUGGGCGCUGCGGUUGGCCAUUACGCAAUGGCCGGUUUAAUUGGCUCCGUUAAUGCAGCCAUUUGUAAGAUGGCAUCACAGGCCGGUGUCCAGCAGAAAAUGGCCACAGGCCCUCGCCCCCCCUCCCAAUUCCCAGCAUUUCCACUAUCGAUUAUUAUAUGCAGGAUUAACCACACUUCACUUUGGACUGACAGGCAGCCCUGCAUCGGGUCCAUUUGCAGGAAGUGCUAGAAUGUAUAUGCAAUUAUGUGCUAAUAUCUGCAAUAUACCUCUAAACUGUACAGCAGGGGGGCGUACUAGGAUUCAUUUUGUUGAACAUGUCUGACACUGGUCAUUUAAAAUUGGGUUUUCAUUGCUCCCGAUUUACACUUGUAAUUUUCUAGAAAAUGUUUUUUCAUAAGAAAAAAAAGCAAAAUAAAAAAAAAACAUAUACCGUAUUUGUAAAUAAA
rnacentral:lncRNA from 1 species